CUGGAUACAUUAGCAUGGGAUAACAUCAUAGGAUUCCGGUCCUAUUGUGUUGGCCUUCGGGAUCGGAGUAAUGAUUAAUAGGGACAGUCGGGGGAAUUCGUAUUUCAUAGUCAGAGGUGAAAUUCUUGGAUUUAUGAAAGACGAACAAUUGCGAAAGCAUUUGCCAAGGAUGUUUUCAUU
rnacentral:rRNA from 16 species